rnacentral:rRNA from 1 species
UGGAAGUAUAAAAAUCGUAACAAGGUUUCCGUAGGUGAACCUGCGGAAGGAUCAUUAAAUUCAGUAGCUUGCUACUGUUAGGGGGGGUCUAUUAGUCUGUAUAGUAUCACUACUGAUGAGCAGCACGACCCUCUGUCUAUACCCUUGUCUUUUGCGCACUCAUGUUUCCUCGGCGGCUUGAUACCCGCCGGCUGGAUCAAGCUAUAACCUUUUUAAUUUUCAAUCAGCGUCUGAAAAACCUAAUAAUUACAACUUUCAACAACGGAUCUCUUGGUUCUGGCAUCGAUGAAGAACGCAGCGAAAUGCGAUAAGUAGUGUGAAUUGCAGAAUUCAGUGAAUCAUCGAAUCUUUGAACGCACAUUGCGCCCCUUGGUAUUCCAUGGGGCAUGCCUGUUCGAGCGUCAUUUGUACCCUCAAGCUCUGCUUGGUGUUGGGUGUUUGUCCACCAUCGUGGACUCGCCUUAAAGUCAUUGGCAGCCAGUGUUUUGGUAUUGAAGCGCAGCACAUUUUGCGCCUCUAGUCUAGAACACUAGCGUCCAGUAAGCCUUUUUCCACUUUGACCUCGGAUCAGGUAGGGAAGGCGGCCAC